AGACGGGCUUUCACCGUGGACUCUAUCUCCUGACCUCGUGAUCCGCCCGCAUAGGCCUCCCAAAGUGCUGGGAUUACAAGCGUGAGCAACCGCGCCCGGCCCCCUUCAGAGAUGGGGCCUUGCUGUGUUGUCCAGGCUGGACUCAAACUCCUGGGCCCAAGCAUUUCUCACACCUCAGUUUGUGGAGUAGCUGGGAUUACAGGCAUGUGUCACCAUGCUCCAAAAUUCAUAUGUUGAAACCUGAUUCCCACUGUGAUGGUUUUGGGUAAGGCCUGUGGGAGAUGAUUAGGUUGUGAGGGCGGAGCACCCAUGAAUCGGAUUAGUGCUCUUAAAACAGUCCGAAGAGACCAGCAUUCUUACUUUUCAUCAUGUGAGGACACAGCGAGAAGACAUUGUCUAGGAACAAAGAAAUAGGCCUUCAUGAUACACCGAAUCUGCCAGCACCUUUAUUUUGGAUUUUCCAGACUCCAGAACUGAGAGGGACAAUUUUUUAUUCUUUAUAAGUCACUUAGUCUAUGGUAUUUUGUUAUAGCAACCUCAAUGGACUAAGACAAAUGAGUACGAAAAGUGUUAAGCACAUGAAUACUCUUAAUCCAGCAAUUCUAAUUCUAGGAGAUUAUAAAAGCAGACAAAGGUAUUGCUAUGGGAAUGUUCAUUGUAGCAUCAUGCUAGUACCAAACUUGGCCCAACAAUAGGAAAUUGAAUCAUAAAUACCCCACAUUUAUUUGUUAAAUACUUUGAAACUAUUAAAAAUAUGUGGUAAAAUAUUAUUUAAUACCAUGGGGAAGUAUUCACAAUACAUGAUUGACUUAAAAAAUUGUAAGACACAAUGUACCGUAAUAGUUCCUUUUGAAAAGAAUGUACUAUCUUUUCAAUGGCCACUGUCUCUUGAACUGUUGGCCUUUUCACACCUGAAUAGUAAUAAAACCCACAUUUAAAAA
ensembl:lncRNA novel transcript